AGUGAACGCUGGCGGCGUGCCUAAUACAUGCAAGUCGAACGGAGUGGCGCACGGGUGAGUAAUAUAUAGCUAAUCUGCCCCUUGCUGGAGGACAACAGUUAGAAAUGACUGCUAAUACUCCAUAGCAAGGGAUGAGACUAUAUCGUAUCAGCUAGUCGGUGGGGUAACGGCCUACCGAGGCUAUGACGCGUAACUGGUCUGAGAGGAUGAUCAGGCACAUUGGAACUGAGACACGGUAGAAACACCUAGGGGAGGCAGCAGUAGGGAAUAUUGCGCAAUGGGGGUAACCCUGACGCAGCAACGCGGCGUAGAGGAUGACACGUUUCGGAGCGUAAACUCCUUUUGUUAGGGAAGCGUUACCGAAAGAAGAAGCACCGGCUAACUCCGUGCCAGCAGCCGCGGUAAUUC
rnacentral:rRNA from 1 species